rnacentral:rRNA from 1 species
AUGGCGCGGCAGCGGGGGAGCGUGGUGCUGCGGCGGAUCGAGGAUCGGAGGCGGCGGGGGAUCUGCUUUAGGAAGCGGCGGGCGGGGCUGGUUAAGAAGGCGGAGGAGCUCGCCGUGCUCUGCGACGCCCACGUCGGCCUCCUCGUCAUCAACCCCUUCGACGGCACCUUCCAACGCUUCGCCGCGCCCGCGACUAUGGAGAAUAUCAUCAAACGUUAUCAGAAUUUCCCAGAAGCACAAAAAAGAGCACAUGGAAGGAGCCUUCUCAAAGAGAGAAGAAGCAAGGAUUUUCAAGUUCCCAUAGUGACAACAGAUAGAAGGCCAAACAUUCAUGACAUGUCAAUUGAUGAAUCAAGCAUAUCCCAGUUGACCAUCGAACAGCUUAGCCAAAUUGAAAGAAAAUUGGAGUAUGCACUAAGGAGGGCAAAGACCAGGAAGUUGGAAGCGUAUAGGAUCGCCACACUACAGGAGAAGGGGAAAGCAACGCUCGAGGAGAGGGAUAUGAUGGAGAUGGUCUCGAGGAAGGAGCAGAAGCAGGAGGGAGGAAGGUAUGUAACUAGAAGCCAGCAAAGCAGCAGGGAGGUGGAUUUGACGCUCAGCCUCGGCAUCGGCAUUGGCUGCAACGUUGGUUGCUCGCGCAGGCACCAAACGCCAAUUGACCUCAACAUGCCGUGA